rnacentral:rRNA from 1 species
UUGACAUCCCGGGAAUUCUGGAAACAGGAGAGUGCUUUCAUUAGAGAGAACCUGGAGACAGGUGCUGCAUGGCUGUCGUCAGCUCGUGUCGUGAGAUGUUGGGUUAAGUCCCGCAACGAGCGCAACCCUUGCCUUUAGUUGCCAGCAGUUCGGCUGGGCACUCUAAAGGGACUGCCGGUGUCAAACCGGAGGAAGGUGGGAUGACGUCAAGUCCUCAUGGCCUUUAUGGCCAGGGCUACACACGUACUACAAUGGCCGGUACAAAGGGCAGCGACAUUGCGAGAUGGAGCGAAUCCCGAAAAGCCGGUCUCAGUUCGGAUUGCAGGCUGCAAUUCGCCUGCAUGAAGUCGGAAUCGCUAGUAAUCGCAGGUCAGCAUACUGCGGUGAAUACGUUCCCGGGCCUU